GACGAACGCUGGCGGCGUGCUUAACACAUGCAAGUCGAACGAUGAAGCCCAGCUUGCUGGGUGGAGUAGUGGCGAACGGGUGAGUAACACGUGGGCAACCUGCCCCAAACUCUGGGAUAACUCCUCGAAAGAGGUGCUAAUACCGGAUACGAACUAGACAGACAUGUGUACUAGUUGGAAAGUUUUUCGGUUUGGGAUGGGCCAGCGGCCUAUCAGCUUGUUGGUGAGGGAAUGGCCCACCAAGGCUACGACGGGUAACCGGCCUGAGAGGGCGACCGGUCACACUGGGACUGAGACACGGCCCAGACUCCUACGGGAGGCAGCAGUGGGGAAUAUUGCGCAAUGGGCGAAAGCCUGACGCAGCGACGCCGCGUGAGGGAUGAAGGUCUUCGGAUCGUAAACCUCUUUCAGUAGGGACGAAGCGAAAGUGACGGUACCUAAAGAAGAAGCACCGGCUAACUACGUGCCAGCAGCCGCCGUAA
rnacentral:rRNA from 1 species